UGAGCAUUACUAGUGUGACCCAAACAGAAAAAAAUGGAAGGAUAUAGAAAAAAUCAUCACAGCCCUGUCUCAAGGAUGACAGGCAAACUUGUGAAGUGUCCUAUAUUUAA
rnacentral:snRNA from 1 species